UAAUCUCACAAAUUGAAGGCUCAAACCAAGUUAAAAUCAAAAAUCGAGCAUGGAUUAUUGAUCCUCAUCACAAGAGGAUUACAAGACAAAGGAGUCGAGUUUUCAAGCGGACAAACCGGAGUGGACAUGCGCUUGAAGGGAACGCUUUAAAGGUGAUUGCCAAGAGUGCCCGGAUGAAGAUCAAGCUCGAAGAAGAACGGAACACGAUAAAGUUAAAAGCUUCCGCGCGACAUUUCAUCGUAUCUUUUAAACGACGAA